rnacentral:rRNA from 1 species
UACGAGAGGCCCAAACGUUAUUCGGAAUUACUGGGCUUAAAGAGUUCGUAGGCGGCGCAGAAAGUAGGGUGUGAAAGCCCUCGGCUUAACCGAGGAAGUGCGCCCAAACUACGGGGCUUGAGUGCCGGAGAGGGUGGCGGAAUUCCCGGUGUAGAGGUGAAAUUCGUAGAUAGUGGGGGAGGAACACCGGUGGCGAAGGCGGCCACCUGGACGGUAACUGACGCUGAGACGCGAAAGCGUGGGGAGCAAACAGG